AUGAACGCUGGCGGCGUGCCUAAUACCUGCAAGUCGAGCGAACAGACGAGGAGCUUGCUCCUCUGACGUUAGCGGCGGACGGGUGAGUAACACGUGGAUAACCUACCUAUAAGACUGGGAUAACUUCGGGAAACCGGAGCUAAUACCGGAUAACAUGUUGAACCGCAUGGUUUAACAGUGAAAGACGGUCUUGCUGUCACUUAUAGAUGGAUCCGCGCCGCAUUAGCUAGUUGGUAAGGUAACGGCUUACCAAGGCAACGAUGCGUAGCCGACCUGAGAGGGUGAUCGGCCACACUGGAACUGAGACACGGUCCAGACUCCUACGGGAGGAAGCAGUAGGGAAUCUUCCGCAAUGGGCGAAAGCCUGACGGAGCAACGCCGCGUGAGUGAAGAAGGUCUUCGGAUCGUAAAACUCUGUUAUUAGGGAAGAACAAAUGUGUAAGUAACUAUGCACGUCUUGACGGUACCUAAUCAGAAAGCCACGGCUAACUACGUG
rnacentral:rRNA from 1 species